rnacentral:rRNA from 1 species
CCUACGGGAGGCAGCAGUGGGGAAUUUUCCGCAAUGGGCGCAAGCCUGACGGAGCAAGACCGCGUGAGGGAGGAAGGCUCUUGGGUUGUAAACCUCUUUUAUCAGGGAAGAAGAUCUGACGGUACCUGAUGAAUCAGCAUCGGCUAACUCCGUGCCAGCAGCCGCGGUAAUACGGAGGAUGCAAGCGUUAUCCGGAUUUAUUGGGCGUAAAGCGUCCGCAGGUGGUUAUUCAAGUCUGCUGUUAAAGCGCGAGGCUUAACUUCGUACAGGCAGUGGAAACUGGAUGACUGGAGUAUGGUAGGGGUAGCGGGAAUUCCCAGUGUAGCGGUGAAAUGCGUAGAUAUUGGGAAGAACACCAGCGGCGAAAGCGCGCUACUGGGCCAUUACUGACACUCAUGGACGAAAGCUAGGGGAGCGAAAGGGAUUAGAUACCCCUGUAGUCCUAGCUGUAAACGAUGGGUACUAGGUGUUGACCGUAUCGACCCGGUCAGUGCCGUAGCUAACGCGUUAAGUACCCCGCCUGGGGAGUAUGCACGCAGUAGUAGAACUACGAAGAAGUAGACGGCGUGAGACGUGACCGACGGACGACGACGAGGGAGGAGG